GAUGAGCAUGCGUCCCAUUAGCUUGUUGGUAAGGUAACGGCUUACCAAGGCAACGAUGGGUAGGGGUCCUGAGAGGGAGAUCCCCCACACUGGUACUGAGACACGGACCAGACUCCUACGGGAGGCAGCAGUGAGGAAUAUUGGUCAAUGGGCGCAAGCCUGAACCAGCCAUGCCGCGUGCAGGAUGAAGCAUCUAUGGUGUGUAAACUGCUUUUGUACAGGAAGAAACAGUUCUACGUGUAGAACCUUGACGGUACUGUAAGAAUAAGGACCGGCUAACUCCGUGCCAGCAGCCGCGGUAAUACGGAGGGUCCAAGCGUUAUCCGGAAUCAUUGGGUUUAAAGGGUCCGUAGGCGGUUUAGUAAGUCAGUGGUGAAAGCCCAUCGCUCAACGGUGGAACGGCCAUUGAUACUGCUAGACUUGAAUUAUUAGGAAGUAACUAGAAUAUGUAGCGUAGCGGUGAAAUGCUUAGAGAUUACAUGGAAUACCAAUUGCGAAGGCAGGUUACUACUAAUGGAUUGACGCUGAUGGACGAAAGCGUGGGUAGCGA
rnacentral:rRNA from 1 species